CCGCCACUAGCUCAGCAGGGAGAGCAGCAAUUCGAAUGUUGCGGUGCGAAGUUCGAGACUUCGGUGGCGGUCCA
rnacentral:tRNA from 1 species